rnacentral:misc_RNA from 1 species
GAUGAAGAACGUAGCGAAAUGCGAUAAGUAGUGUGAAUUGCAGAAUCCCGUGAACCAUCGAGUCUUUGAACGCAAGUUGCGCCCGAAGCCAUCAGGUUGAGGGCACGUCUGCCUGGGCGUCACAUAUCGUUGCUCGAUGCCUAUCGCAUUGCGAUAGGACUUAGGGCGAAUGAUGGCUUCCCGUGAGCGUUGUUGCCUCGCGGUUGGUUGAAAAUCGAGUCCUUGGUAGGGUGUGCCAUGAUAGAUGGUGGUCGAGUUAGGACGAGACCGAUCAUGUGCAUGCUCCCCAAAAUAUGGCCUCUGUGACCCACACGCGUCUUUUGACGCUCAUGACGAGACCUCAGGUCAGGCGGGGCUACCCGCUGAAUUUAAGCAUAUCAAUAAGCGGAGGA